rnacentral:rRNA from 1 species
ACCUGCCUUAUAGUGGGGGAGUAGCCUUUCGAAAGGAAGAUUAAUACCGCAUAAGAUUGUAGUAUCGCAUGAUAUAGCAAUUAAAGGAGCAAUUCGCUAUAAGAUGGACCCGCGUCGCAUUAGCUAGUUGGUGAGGUAAUGGCUCACCAAGGCGACGAUGCGUAGCCGACCUGAGAGGGUGAUCGGCCACAUUGGGACUGAGACACGGCCCAGACUCCUACGGGAGGCAGCAUG